UUAAGUUCAGCGGGUAUUCCUACCUGAUCCGAGGUCAACCACUAAAAAAUUGGGGGUUUUAUGGCGGGAGGACAGAGCCUGACAAAAGCGAGAAAUAAAUUACUACGCUCAGAGGACUACCGCCGCUCCGCCACUGUCUUUAAGGAACUGCAGUACAGCAGAUUCCCAACACUAAGCUAGGCUUAAGGGUUGAAAUGACG
rnacentral:misc_RNA from 1 species